CACGGGGGGAGCAAGCGUUGUUCGGAAUCACUGGGCGUAAAGGGCGUGUAGGCGGUCAGGUAAGUGGGAUGUGAAAUGCCCCGGCUCACCCGGGGACCGGCAUCCCAUACUGCUUGGCUUGAGUACGGGAGAGGAUGUGGGAAUUCCUGGUGUAGCGGUGAAAUGCGCAGAUAUCAGGAGGAACACCGGUGGCGAAGGCGGAUCUCUGGGCCUGUUCUGACGCUGAGGCGCGAAAGCUAGGGGAGCGAACAGG
rnacentral:rRNA from 1 species